rnacentral:rRNA from 1 species
UACGUAAGGACCGAGCGUUGUCCGGAAUCAUUGGGCGUAAAGGGUACGUAGGCGGUCUAGUAAGUUAGAAGUGAAAGGCAAUAGCUCAACUAUUGUAAGCUUUUAAAACUGCUAGACUUGAGAGAUUGAAGGGAAAGUGGAAUUCCUAGUGUAGCGGUGAAAUGCGCAGAUAUUAGGAGGAAUACCAGUGGCGAAGGCGACUUUCUGGCAAUCAUCAGACGCUGAUGCACGAAGGUGUGGGUAUCAAACAGG